rnacentral:rRNA from 1 species
AGUGAACGCUGGCGGUAGGCCUAACACAUGCAAGUCGAACGGCAGCACAGUAAGAGUUUGCUCUUACGGGUGGCGAGUGGCGGACGGGUGAGGAAUACAUCGGAAUCUACUUUUUCGUGGGGGAUAACGUAGGGAAACUUACGCUAAUACCGCAUACGUCCUACGGGUGAAAGCAGGGGAUCUUCGGACCUUGCGUGAUUGAAUGAGCCGAUGUCGGAUUAGCUAGUUGGCGGGGUAAGGGCACACCAAGGCGACGAUCCGUAGCUGGUCUGAGAGGAUGAUCAGCCACACUGGAACUGAGACACGGUCCAGACUCCUACGGGAGGCAGCAGUGGGGAAUAUUGGGCAAUGGGCGCAAGCCUGAUCCAGCCAUACCGCGUGAGUGAAGAAGGCCUUCGGGUUGUAAAGCCCUUUUGUUGGGAAAGAAAAGCAGCAGGUUAAUACCCCGCUGUUCUGACGGUACCCAAAGAAUAAGCACCGGCUAACUUCGUG